UGCGAUAGGGGGACUCCGAGUGCGAGGGCAUAGAGCCCUCGCUUUUCUGUACCGUAAGGUGGUACAGGAAGAAGGGCUGGGCAAGACCGGUGCCAGCCGCCGCGGUAAUACCGGCAGCCCAGGUGAUGGCCGAUAUUAUUGGGCCUAAAGCGUCCGUAGCUGGCCGGACAAGUCCGUUGGGAAAUCCGCACGCUUAACGUGCGGGCGUCCAGCGGAAACUGUCCGGCUUGGGACCGGAAGACCCGAGGGGUACGUCCGGGGUAGGAGUGAAAUCCUGUAAUCUCGGACGGACCACCUGUGGCGAAAGCGCCUCGGGAAGACGGAUCCGACAGUGAGGGACGAAAGCCAGGGUCUCGAACCGGAUUAGAUACCCGGGUAGUCCUGGCCGUAAACGAUGUCCGCUAGGUGUGACGCAGGCUACGAGCCUGCGUUGUGCCGUAGGGAAGCCGUGAAGCGGACCGCCUGGGAAGUACGUCUGCAAGGAUGAAACUUAAAGGAAUUGGCGGGGGAGCAC
rnacentral:rRNA from 1 species